rnacentral:lncRNA from 10 species
ACUCAGAGUUGGUGGCAGUGCUGGCCCUACUGGACACUGUGCUGGACUCAGAGUUGGUGGCUGUGCUGGCCCCACUGGAGGUCACACUGGACCCAGAGUUGGUGGCUGUGCUGGCUCCACUGGAGAUCACACUGGAUCCAGUGUUGGCAGAGGUGCUAGUCUCAUUGGAAUUUGUUGCUGAAGAAAUCAUAUAAUGACAAAUAUAUAUUGUGUGUAUAUACUUUCUGCUUAUUGCUUGGCUAAAUUCAUUACAUAAUUUUAUUUAAUGCUCACUAUGGUGCUAUAACAUAGAUGCUAUUAUUAUCACCAGCUGAGAUGAAGAAAUUGAGGCUUCAAAAUGUUGAUACUGGGCUGGGCACGGUGGCUCACGCCUGUAAUCCCAGCACUUUGGGAGGCCAAGGUGGGCGGAUCACCUGAGGUUGGGAGUUCGAGACCAGCCUGACCAACAUGGAGAAACCCCAUCUCUACUAAAAAUACAAAAUUAGCCGGGCAUUAAUUCCAGCUACUCGGGAGGCUGAGGCAGGAGAAUCACUUGAACCCGGGAGGCAGAGGUUGCGGUGAGUCGAGAUCGAGCCAUUGCACUCCAGCCUGGGUGCCAAGAGCAAAACUCCGUCUCAAAAAUAAAAAAUAAAAAAAAGUUGACACUGGCCCAAGUUUACACAGCUAGUGAGUGGUGGAACAGGAAACUGAACCCAGGCUACUAAAUCUGCACUUGUGGAGACUAAGCUAAGUCAACCACCCACCCACAAUGCCAGAGUUACAUCAUCUAGUUUCACUGGUAGCUAACCUUUUUCCACAUUCUGCUAUGCAAGAUACAAUACAGAUAUAAAGUAUUAUAAAAGAAUUAUAGGACUAGGUGAAACUAGUAUAUACUGAUCAAUUUUUUUCUUAAGUAGUAUUGCUUCCUUCUUGGAAAAUAUUUCUCAGAAUAAUAUUCAGAACACACUUAUUUCAGAAUUACUUAAGGGAGCAUGUUGAAAAUAUUCUUAAGCAAAUCAUUCCAGACUAAAUGAAUUAGAAUUUGAGAUGGGGCCCAGGAGUCUGCAUGUACAACAAGAAGCCAGGUGACUAUAUGCAUUCAAGUUCCAGGGGCCCUUGAUCACUAUGGCCAAGGCUAGAGAAGAACGAGUUAUAUGUAGCUCAAAUACAUAAGAGCUCCCAGGAAUAAGGGCUGUAAACCAACGUCUAAAGGUAGAGGGAAGGCUUUUAACUUCUUGGAGGCUUGGCUGGAGUUAAGGUUAUGUCAAAUUUUUGCCCUUGAUUUCCCAGAAGGAUGAAGACAUUCAACCUCCCCAGCCUGUACGUGGGAAGCUGACGAGGAAUUAGGUGUAGGGGUAGGAGAGAAAUUGAGUUUGUAGAAUAUAGAAGAGUGGUAUUUUAUUUUAUUUUAUUUUAUUUUAUUUUAUUUUAUUUUAUUGCUUAUUUAUUUAUUUGUUUUUGAGACGGAGUCUUGCUCUGCCGCCCAGGCUGGAGUAUAGUGGAGCAAUCUCAGCUCACUGCAACAUCCGCCUCCCACGUUCAAGCGAUUCUCCUGCCUCAGCCUCCUGAGUAGCUAGGAUUACAGGCAUAAGCCACCCCGCCAGGCUAAUUUUUGUACUUUUAGUAGAGAUGGAGUUUCACCAUGUUGGCCAGGCUGGUCUGAAACUCCUGGCCUCAAGACAUCCACCCGCCUUGGCCUCCCAAAGUGCUGAGAUUACAGGCGUGAGCCACUGAGCCUGGCCUUAUUUUAUUAUUUUAUUUUUUUGAGACAGAGUCUCACUCCGUCACCCAGGCUGGAGUGCAGUGGCACCAUCUUGGCUCACUGCAACCUCCGCCUCCCGGGUUCAAGCGAUUUUCCUGCCUCAGCCUCCUGAGUAGCUGGGAGUACAGGGACAAGCCAACACACUCAGCUAAUUUUUGUAUUUUUAGUAGAGACAGGGUUUUGCCACGUUAGCUAGGCUGGUCUUGAACUUCUGACCUCAAUGACCUGCCUGCCUCACCCUCCCAAAGUGCUGGGAUUAAAGGCAUGAGCCACCGCACCCCGCCAGAAGAGUGACAUUUUAAAAGCAGCCGACUCUUCUUGUUCUUAAUAUUUAAAACCCCAACCAUAUUACACAGGUUGUUACCAUUUUACAGAUGCAGAAAUCGAGGCGCAGAGAAGCAACUGACCUAAAGUACACAGUUAAUAGAUGGAGCCAUAAUUCAAAUGUAGGCAAUGUGAGACCAGAGCCCAAUUUUAACCACUGUGUCUGACUGCUUCCUGCAUGACAUACCUUGUUAGGCUGAAGUGAUUCGAGUAAAAUGAUGAUCCUCACUCUAUGGAAGAGAAGCAGAGCUGGCCCCAGUAGUGGUCACAUUUCUC